rnacentral:lncRNA from 1 species
AUGGUGGUGAUUUCGGGAACAUCAUUGGGAGUUGAUUCAGGGACAAUAGAGGCACAGUGUUUGUUGUAAUUAGGGAUGUCAAGUUUGGAGGAAGAGACCAUGGGGGUGUAAGAGGUGGUCGAAAGGACCAAGAACAUUGCGACGUGAAGCCAUGAUAGAUAACACCAUGUGCUUGGAGAGGAAUUAGAGGUCAUCAUCCGAUAUUUCUUAGACAAUGAGGAUGGUAAGGCUGGUCUGAACAUCUGGUGGAAUGAAGCGGCGGAUAUAUACUAGACUAGGGUAGCAGUCAUCCGGCAAAGUUUUCUUGCUUUUAAGAACCACGCAAUCUACGCAAAUGGAGAACAUCUGCUCCUGAUAAAGAUAGGGACAGCUUAGAGUACCGUGUCAUAUUUGAAGAGUGCACGCUAGGUGUGCUUGAUUUUUUACUGAAUGAAUAAAAAUAGUAAGAUUUAUCUCGAUAUCUCAUGAAGAACAAGACUCUAAUAUUAUAUAAAAUAAUUAUUUUAAUUUAAUAAUUUAAAUUGUUAGAUAAUAUUUUAAAAUAUAAUUUAUAUUAUUUUAUAAUAUAUAUAUUGUUGGAAAUCAAACACAUUUAUAAAUAUAAAAAAAUUAUUAUUCAUGAAAUGAAUAACUCAUGUUAAUUAUCUCGAGAUAGCACCCUAGAUUCUAUAGAUCUCUAAUACCAAUUGGGAUUAGGGUGUGAUUAAAUCUAGGUGAAAUAAAUUUGAUAAUUUAUUAAAUCUAUGAUGAUUUAGGCUUAACUCAUGAUUAAACCCAAAUUGACAAUUCACAAAGCCUAUGGUUUUAACAUGACUGAACUCAAAUGUAUUGAAUCUAGUAUUUUAGUAAACUCAUGAUUCUCUGUACUCAAUUGAUAGCUGAAUCUAAACACAUUGAAUCUUAUAUUUUGCUAGAUUGAUGAUUCUCGAGGCUUAGUUUAUGGCUGAAUUUAAAUAUAUUAGAUUUAGCAUCUUGUCAAAAUCAUGUUUGAUUGAGUUAUCAUCUUGUUACAAGGUUGAGCUCUUUCAACGCACAAAAAUAAAGAAUAAAAAUACUAAAUCAUCAUAACAGAUGGUUUAUGCUAUGAUUAGUAUAUGUGUUCUUGGAUUUGUUGUUUGGGUCAUUAUAUGUUUAACAUGGACUUAGGCAUUGAUAGUUUAUUAAAAUUCUUUUUUUUUAUAAGUUCUCUUCUUAAAAUAGCCUGAAAGGAUGUUUAGAUACAAGAAAAUUAGUGAAAUCCUUAGUAAAUUGAAAAUCUUAAUUUAAAUAAGAAUAAGAUUCGAAAAACAAGUAGCAAUAUUGAUGUGGAUCGAGUAACAAGACAACAAAAGGGCUGAUUAUUGUUGCACAAUCAAGCACGUUAAAUUUUCUUACGUAACAGUUGGAGUUUCCUCUCAUUUCAUUAUUUAGCUUUUACUCUCCCAAUUAAUUCGGGACGUUUCUUUUUGUUUUUUAGUUUUUAUUUCCUCAUUAAUUCUAGACUGUUUCCCAAUUUAAUGAAGUUGUUUUAGGAUUCUAGGAAUUCUGUUUUCUCCACUGGGGACCUUGUGGACUAAGCUUUGUUUUUGUCUGAUUAUUGUUUUUUGUGUUGUGGUUUGUGUGUUUAUUUUUUAUGCAUUUCCUUUAUUUAUUUCUUAUACGCUUUAAUUUCUGUAUAUAUUUGUUCAUGCAUUGUAUAGAAUUGUCUCAUCCAUCACUUACUUUAAAUUUUAUACAAGCACGCACAACUUGGCCAAGCAGAGUUUGCUCAUAACCAUGCAGUCAAUUGUAGCACCAAGCUCAGCCCCUUUAAAAUUAUGUAUGGGUUUCUCCCACGAUGUCCACUUGACUUGGCUAAACUCUCGAACAACACUAAAGUUAAUCACAAGGCAGAGGAUUUUGUCACCCAGCUGCAUGACAUUCACAACCCUACCCGACAGAACUUGCUGGAAUCUAUCGCCAAAUUCAAACACGAUGAGGACCGCAAGCAGCGUCAUGUCAAUUUUGAGGUUGGGGACUUCGUUUAGGUUGUGCUAGCGAAGGAUCGCUUUCCUAUAGGCGAGUAUAAUAAAUUGUUCUGCACGAAAGAUUGGUCCAGUAGAAAUUAUUGAGAAAAUUAAUUCAAAUGCCUAUCGCCUAAAGCUGCCCAGUCAUCUUCGAAUAGCAAAUGUAUUUAAUGUCAAACAUUUGCUUCCUUUCCACAGGGGAUUUGUCAUCAGAGGAGGAAGAUCUCCCGAAUUCGUGGUUGAAUUCUUCUCAGCUUGGGGAGGAUGAUGUGGACCAGGUAGCAAGACAAUAAAAUAGCUUACUAUUGUUGCACAAUCAAGCACAUUAAAUUUUCUUACGUAACAGUUGGAGUUUCCUCUCAUUUCAUUAUUUAGUUUUUACUCUCCCAAUUAGUUCGGGACGUUUCUUUCUGUUUUUUAGCUUUUAUUUCCUCAUUAAUUCUGGACUGUUUCCCGGUUUAAUGAAGUUGUUUUAGGACUCUAGGAAUUCUGUUUUCUCUAUUUAUUUGGUUGUAAGCACUUUGUGAAAGAUAGACAGAAUAAAAAAAAAUCCAAAACUCCUUUGAGUAGUUAACUCAAAUAUCUUUUUUUCUUUGUUUUUCGCGGAAUUACAUAUUAAAAAAACAUUGUGUGUUAGAACGUGUGUGAAUUCCUUUUGAUCUGCAUUAGAAAUGGAGAAAAAUGAAAAUGAAAACAACUAGCAAGCUAGCUACUCCUGGGUAUAUAGAAUUUAAGAACAAUCUAGAAAAAAUUAAAUUUGAUUUAAUAAUAAAAUAAAAAACUAUGAUUGUUUUUAACAAUUAAGAAAAAUAAUUAUCCAAGAAUAAUGAAAAUAGUGCCGCCGAGGUCGGUAGCCAAUGAAUCUUUGCACAUAGAGAGGUGUGACGUCUUUCAAUUAGUUCUGAAUUCAAUUGACAUAAAUUAAAUGCUACAUUUAAGGUGCGUCAAAGGGCAUAUCGGAUUACCAUUAUAAAACUGAUUAAAUUAAUUAAUCUAAAUGAAUCUCUACAUUGUUCAACAAAGAACAAAAAAAAAUAAGAAAAAUAAAAUGUCAGCGAUUUCAUUUUCAGCAAAAAAGCAAAGACUUGGAACUUUCCAAGCAAAUCCAAGUCUAAUUUGGUGAUGAAUGCAGAAAUCGAUGUAUUGGCUCGUAGUAAGACGUGGUCUUUGCUUUAUUUUGAUCAGUCAAUGAAUAUUGUUUGCUGCAAGUGGGUGUUCAAUAUUAAACAGAAAGCUAAUGACUCUAAUUAAUUAGCAUUUUAAGGCUUUGUUUGGUAGCCAAAAGGUAUAAUCACAAAAAAAAAAAAAAAAAAAAAAACAUUUUGACUUUGAUGACACUUUCAGUGAUCUGGCAACCACUGCUUGAAUGGUACCUAUGGAAAUUUCCUAGGCUGAAUGUUUAUAAGGUGUUGCUUAAUGGUUUUCUUCAUAUUGAUGUUUCCAUGGCGCAACCCAUAAUUUUUUGUAUCCUUAAUUUCUUUCUCAUGUGUGCAAGAUAUAAUACACAUGAGAAGGAAAUUAAGUUUCCUGGUUUUAUACAAAAAAAAAUCCAGGAAGUAACUGAACCGAGCCGAACCAAUUUGGUUUGAACCAAAUUCCAGUUUGCUCUGGUUUAUAUUUUUCCGAGUGCAAGCUUGAAAUUGCACGCUGUGGUUUAGCCUUGCAAUGUUUAUAUCUAUGCCUGUUAUAAAAUGUGAUGAUAUCCAGGUUAAAAACAUUAAAAUCUACACACACACACAUAUAUAAUGGUUACAUAAUUUAUCCACAAUGAACAGCGUUUUCAAUCAAAUAAUCAACUUGACGUUUUCCAAUUUCACAACAGAGCACAAAGACUUUCUAUCUUCAUUUACUAGAAACAGGGAGCUACAAGGCUUCAACUAUCUUGAAUUUGCUAGAGCAUAUAAAUUGUCUUCCUAUCUACUUGUAAUUGCGAAUGAAGAUAAGAUCAUGCAGGGAAGUCUUUGCAAACAAGAGAUAUAUAAAGUCACACAUAAACCUUUUCGCUUCCACAGAUGUAUAUACACACAGGUAGAAACACUGUGUUGACAUGUAAAAUCACACAUGAAGAUUUAUUAGUCAUUUUAUAUAGCAGGGGUCCUAAUAUUUUAGCCCAAUCACAAACGGCGAGGGGAGGGGUGGAGUGGUGAUAAAAAUCACAUGCUCACAAAGGUUUGAACCACAAAUUAUACAUCACUAGCCACUGGUACUUUCUCGUAUCCUUCUAGCUCCUUGAAUCUUUUUGGCAAGAAACAACGACCACCGAAGCGCUGCUGCAGGUAGACGAUAGCAGCAAGAAGAAGGCCCACUAGAGGAAUAAUGAGAUCCCAUGCAGUGGAAUAAUAAUCUCCACCUGUGUCGGCAUACAUGUAUGAACCAUCAAAAUCUUCAACAGAGUAGUUAGCCCUGUAUAGAUCGUAUGCAUGCGGGAGCAAGCGCACAAAUGUGGUUCCUAUGUAGAAGAAACGAGAGAGGGCAUUUUCUGUGGAGUUGUGGAAAAUGUUGAGGAGGAUUUGAGGGAAGAGAAAACCAUCGAGCACCAAACCACCAUAAGAUCUUAAAUCCACCCAAUGGGAACGCUGAUAGGUGCUGCUGUAAGCGUACUCCAUGCCCUCACCCACCGUGUUGUUCCUCCAAUUCACAUACACAGCAAUUAAACCUCCAGAUAUAUAUAGUGGCAAAGACAGAUAGAGUGUCCUCUUCUCAGCAGCCAAGAACGCCUUUUGCUUCCCAUCAGCGAAUCGUGCAGACCAUACAAGCUGCAGAAGGCGGAACUGCAGCAGGAAAGCUACCAUCGUGAUUACCCUUACAAUUACCUCAUUCGCUUCCAACCAUCCACCACUCUGUAGAAGGAAUGUUGUGCGACUUUCCUUUGGCACAAACAAAGCUUCAAAAUUCAGCAUUAGAGGGAUCAUGCGCCCGAGAGUAAGGACUAGAAGCAUGAUAAGUGAGAUGAAAGGGAAAACAGCGGGAUGCUUUUUCACAUACAAGAUCUGGUAUCCCACAAAGACACAAACGAGAGUAUUAGAGAUCAAAGACAUGAUGAUCUCCAGAUCCAUCCUCCGUAUUGACUCCCUCGAAUGCUGACGGUUAAAUGAAACUGCAGAAAAAGAAAGAGGCUCGAAGUACAGAGGAUCAGAUUUUUUCCCUGUGUAUUCAAUGGUCCCCUGGAUAUAAUCAUUUGAAUCUACUGGAGGGAACUGGACAUUUAUAAGAAUCUUACAGUCCAUUGAAUCAUUGUCUGAUGUCCGAUUGUUUGAGUCAAGAUAUCUGCAGCCCACCAUACAAAGUUCUCCUGUUUCAGCAUCAUAAAUUCCUUCAGAGAAGACUUGAACACGAGUAGUCUCAUUCAGCUGGAACCUCAUGCUGUAGCUGAUGUUCUGUGGGAUGCUGUGGUUGGUUUUUCCUUUAACCGGAGAGGAAGCAUCCCUCAAGCUUGAUGAAAUCACAAAGCUGUUUUGUCGAGAAAUUUGAUCACCCACAGCGAUGGGCUGAGAGUAGCCCCAUCCUAUUCUUCUUCUUCUCUUUGAGUCCCUGACCACCAUAUCGAACUCCAUGUCAUUCGAAGUUGCAUCUGGAUGCUUUCCUUUGUUCUUUCUGGGCUGCUUCUCUGAGCAUGACUUUCUUGCUUUAUCAACAACAGUGUACUGGUACUUCGAACCGGGGAUCCCAGCUACAAAAUUUUCAUGACUUCGAAACAUGAUCGUAUUGAAGUAACCCAGAUCAUUCUCACGUUUGUUACUCCAAAUAUGCCCCAUCAUACCACUAGUAUUUCUGAUUGACCAAACGGCAGGGAAUCUGAAACUCAACCUCACCGAACAAUCCUCAAUAUGAGAUUUAUUCAACGAGUUGGCCGAAUUCAAGAUUCGACAGCCAACAACACACAGCUGAUUCUUAUUCACAUCCCAUGAUCCUUCCGCAACCAAUGUUGUGUUUGGAGUGAAGGGUUGGUAAUAAUCAGCAUAGCUACCGUUGGGGAAUUCUAUCAGGAAUCUCAAACUUCGUUUAUCUUCUAAACAUUGAAUUAAUUUCAAGGACAUGAUUUGUGGUAAAUAUCCAACACCCUCACCAAAAGGAUUGCACCUACUUGUGGAAUUGCAACCACUUGAAUACUCCAGUUUAAAAAAAGUAUUCCAACGAGAGAAUGCAUUGCAAAUAGGUGUACUCAGCUUUAAGCUUAGUGACAAACUCUUUGGAACAUCAAUCCCCCCGGUACAGAUCGAGUGCUUUUCCAACCUCAGUGAACUCGUAAUUAUUUUGAGGGAACAUCAACAAGGAGAUUGGCUUAAAAUAUCCUGAAUCACCAGCAGUACUCGAGCUUUCCAAUAUUCCCCUCACCAAACUACUGAUAGUGCUUGAUUUUCUAACUUCAUCAAGCUUAAGUAGAGCGGCAAGAACAACAUGUUCACCCUCCUCUGAGUAAGUAGAACCAGAGCCCACCAUGCAAAGCUUGCCGGUAGAUAUUGACCAGAACCCUUCUACUUCAAAACUCAAAGGACCCCUCGGAGAUCUGUCGUCGUACAUGUAAUACUCCAUAUCCGAGGUUUUCAGGAUCAAACUCGCCUCAACCUUAAAGACACCAUCAACAUCAGUGCUAUAGACACUGUGGGUAGGAAUGAAUAGCUCUCUCCUGUUACUCGAUGGAUAAUGGUAACGAGAUGAGUUUGGAUGAUUCAAUAUGUCUUCCCCACCAAGAAAGUACCCAUCUUGCUCUGCAGCAAAAGGGAUGGUGGUGAUUUCGGGAACAUCAUUGGGAGUUGAUUCAGGGACAAUUGAGGCACAGUGUUUGUUGUAAUUAGGGAUGUCAAGUUUGGAGGAAGAGACCAUGGGGGUGUAAAAGGUGGUCGAAAGGAGCAAGAACAUUGCGAGGUGAAGCCAUGGUAGAUAACACCAUGUGCUUGGAGAGGAAUUAGAGGUCAUCAUCCGAUAUUUCUUGGACAAUGAGGAUGGUAA